rnacentral:rRNA from 1 species
GAUGAACGCUGACAGAAUGCUUAACACAUGCAAGUCUACUUGAAUUUGGGUUUUUUAACUUAGAUUUGGGUGGCGGACGGGUGAGUAACGCGUAAAGAACUUGCCUCACAGCUAGGGACAACAUUUGGAAACGAAUGCUAAUACCUGAUAUUAUGAUUAUAAGGCAUCUUAGAAUUAUGAAAGCUAUAUGCGCUGUGAGAGAGCUUUGCGUCCCAUUAGCUAGUUGGAGAGGUAACGGCUCACCAAGGCGAUGAUGGGUAGCCGGCCUGAGAGGGUGAACGGCCACAAGGGGACUGAGACACGGCCCUUACUCCUACGGGAGGCAGCAGUGGGGAAUAUUGGACAAUGGACCAAGAGUCUGAUCCAGCAAUUCUGUGUGCACGAUGACGUUUUUCGGAAUGUAAAGUGCUUUCAGUUGGGAAGAAAAAAAUGGCGGUACCAACAGAAGAAGUGACGGCUAAAUACGUG